rnacentral:tRNA from 1 species
GCCGGGAUGGCGGAAUUGGUAGACGCAGCGGAUUCAAAAUCCGCCGGGUUCACGCCCUUGAGAGUUCGAGUCUCUCUCCCGGUACCA